rnacentral:rRNA from 1 species
AUUGAACGCUGGCGGCAUGCCUUACACAUGCAAGUCGAACGGCAGCACGGGUGCUUGCACCUGGUGGCGAGUGGCGAACGGGUGAGUAAUACAUCGGAACAUGUCCUGUAGUGGGGGAUAGCCCGGCGAAAGCCGGAUUAAUACCGCAUACGAUCUACGGAUGAAAGCGGGGGACCUUCGGGCCUCGCGCUAUAGGGUUGGCCGAUGGCUGAUUAGCUAGUUGGUGGGGUAAAGGCCUACCAAGGCGACGAUCAGUAGCUGGUCUGAGAGGACGACCAGCCACACUGGGACUGAGACACGGCCCAGACUCCUACGGGGGGCAGCAGUGGGGAAUUUUGGACAAUGGGCGAAAGCCUGAUCCAGCAAUGCCGCGUGUGUGAAGAAAGCCUUCGGGUUGUAAAGCACUUUUGUCCGGAAAGAAAUCCUUGGCCCUAAUACGGUCGGGGGAUGACGGUACCGGAAGAAUAAGCACCGGCUAACUACGUG